rnacentral:rRNA from 1 species
CAUGCAGUCGAGCGAACAGAUAAGGAGCUUGCUCCUUUGACGUUAGCGGCGGACGGGUGAGUAACACGUGGGUAACCUACCUAUAAGACUGGGAUAACUUCGGGAAACCGGAGCUAAUACCGGAUAAUAUUUCGAACCGCAUGGUUCGAUAGUGAAAGAUGGUUUUGCUAUCACUUAUAGAUGGACCCGCGCCGUAUUAGCUAGUUGGUAAGGUAACGGCUUACCAAGGCGACGAUACGUAGCCGACCUGAGAGGGUGAUCGGCCACACUGGAACUGAGACACGGUCCAGACUCCUACGGGAGGCAGCAGUAGGGAAUCUUCCGCAAUGGGCGAAAGCCUGACGGAGCAACGCCGCGUGAGUGAUGAAGGUCUUCGGAUCGUAAAACUCUGUUAUUAGGGAAGAACAUACGUGUAAGUAACUGUGCACGUCUUGACGGUACCUAAUCAGAAAGCCACGGCUAACUACGUGCCAGCAGCCGCGGUAAUACGUAGGUGGCAAGCGUUAUCCGGAAUUAUUGGGCGUAAAGCGCGCGUAGGCGGUUUUUUAAGUCUGAUGUGAAAGCCCACGGCUCAACCGUGGAGGGUCAUUGGAAACUGGAAAACUUGAGUGCAGAAGAGGAAAGUGGAAUUCCAUGUGUAGCGGUGAAAUGCGCAGAGAUAUGGAGGAACACCAGUGGCGAAGGCGACUUUCUGGUCUGUAACUGACGCUGAUGUGCGAAAGCGUGGGGAUCAAACAGGAUUAGAUACCCUGGUAGUCCACGCCGUAACGAUGAGUGCUAAGUGUUAGGGGGUUUCCGCCCCUUAGUGCUGCAGCUAACGCAUUAAGCACUCCGCC